GGGAUCCCACUUCUGAGGAAACAGCUUUUGCAGUGGUCUUGGGUACCCUGAUAUUUUCUUGCUACAUUUCCUCAGCCGACACGAAGCAGCCCCAGUCCACAGGAGAGCUGACCUCAGGAGUCAUCCAUCACUUUGACACCUACAUGACUUGCCUUCCCCUAACUUGAACUUCGGGGCUUAGCCUGAAAUGGGGCAGUUGACUUCCAAAUUCCUACAGGGGGCCGCCCGGGGCCAAAGAAGACCCUACCCCAAGCCUAAAUGUUGCAACAGAGGCGAAGGUGGGAACCCCGGGGGUUGGGGGAGGGGGGUCUUGGGCUGCCACGUGAGGUUGAGUUAGAUGGGAUGCUGUUGAGUAGACCUGCUUCGCACCAUCUUUUGACCUGCACAAGCAAUGGCUCUGUUCCUAGUCAAGCAGAAUCCUCCUUGGUUAACAACAGGACAGCAAAAUUGCCUCCUACCCAACGGGAUUCCUUCCAGUCUUGGAUCACAGAGAAGAACAUGACUCUGUGAGGAGCAGGUGAGCGAGUGGGAGAGAACGGGGUGGGAACAGGAAGAGCAAAUCAGGAAAAUAAGGAUUAGAAUUAACCAAAUAACUGAAACUGCAAGAACCCUCCAAAUCCAGGGAAGCACGAAGGCCAACGGACUUCCAAGACAUGAUGGAAACUCCUGAACUGCCCAUGGACAGACUUCACCAUAGUUUCAGCUGGGGAACUGGGAGCAUCUUAGACCAAACCAAGUCUAAAAAGGCGGGGGGAGAGAGGCUGUGGGAGCCUGGCAUCCACACAACACUAAACCCAUAGAAAUAAACUAUAGUUACCUGCUAUUUAAAAGAGGCAACAAAAAGCUAAGAAGAAAACAAAAAAGAACUGGAUUUAUUUUCUGCAGAUACAGAGGGAUGAUAUUCAUCUCCAGUGACGUCGCUGCUAGGAGGCCAAACAACCUGGUUUAAACAACAUCUACACACCGUUCAAAGGAGACAAUGAGGAAGCUAUAAAGGAGAGAAAGAGAAAAGACCAAAACUGCUUUGCCAGCAACAACUAUCCAGUUAUUGCAAAAUCCCCAUUUCCUCCCAAUCAUCUGGGACUCGGGAGGCAGAGCAUAGCUGGGGGCGGGGCCAGUCAGAGGUGGUAUUUAGCGGUUCUCAGAAACAAUCAAAAUUUCCACCAUCGGUUCUCCAGAACUGGUCAGAACCAGCUGAAACCCACCUCUGGUCCACUUCCUUCUAGCAUUGAUGAUGUUACCUCGUUUGGGUCACAUCUGCAAGCAAAGCAAACCACCGAGGACUCUGAUAUGGUGAGAACCCGACGAUUGUC